rnacentral:rRNA from 1 species
UGCAAGUCGAGCGGUAACAGAAAGUAGCUUGCUACUUUGCUGACGAGCGGCGGACGGGUGAGUAAUGCUUGGGAACAUGCCUUGAGGUGGGGGACAACAGUUGGAAACGACUGCUAAUACCGCAUAAUGUCUACGGACCAAAGGGGGCUUCGGCUCUCGCCUUUAGAUUGGCCCAAGUGGGAUUAGCUAGUUGGUGAGGUAAUGGCUCACCAAGGCAACGAUCCCUAGCUGGUUUGAGAGGAUGAUCAGCCACACUGGAACUGAGACACGGUCCAGACUCCUACGGGAGGCAGCAGUGGGGAAUAUUGCACAAUGGGCGAAAGCCUGACGCAGCCAUGCCGCGUGUGUGAAGAAGGCCUUCGGGUUGUAAAGCACUUUCAGUCAGGAGGAAAGGGUGUGAGUUAAUACCUCACAUCUGUGACGUUACUGACAGAAGAAGCACCGGCUAACUCCGUGCCAGCAGCCGCGGUAAUACGGAGGGUGCGAGCGUUAAUCGGAAUUACUGGGCGUAAAGCGUACGCAGGCGGUUUGUUAAGCGAGAUGUGAAAGCCCCGGGCUCAACCUGGGAACUGCAUUUCGAACUGGCAAACUAGAGUGUGAUAGAGGGUGGUAGAAUUUCAGGUGUAGCGGUGAAAUGCGUAGAGAUCUGAAGGAAUACCGAUGGCGAAGGCAGCCACCUGGGUCAACACUGACGCUCAUGUACGAAAGCGUGGGGAGCAAACGGGAUUAGAUACCCCGGUAGUCCACGCCGUAAACGAUGUCUACUAGAGCUCGGCAUCCUCGGUUCUGUUUUUCAAAGCUAACGCAUUAAGUAGACCGCCUGGGGGAGUACGGCCGCAAUGCAAGUCGAC